AACCUUAUGGACCUGCGGGCGUAUACCUGCGGAAGGAUCAUUAUCGUUUCGGAGUAAACGACUGUCUGGUAGCUGCCCCUUCGAUUUAAGCGGUGACCAGACCGUUGACUGGUCGCCAGUCAACGGUCUGGUCGCCACUUAGGUCGAAGAGGUAGCUACCAGACGGCUCAGGUUACUUUGCAACUCCUACCUCUUGUCAUUUGCUCGGUCGGGGCCUCGCGCGGCAGGUCACCUGUUGCG
rnacentral:misc_RNA from 1 species